ensembl:lncRNA
UGGCCGGGCCCCGCGCCUCCACCCUCGCCUCCUCCUCCUUCUCCUCCGCCACGCCCCCCCCCUCCCUGCCGGCGAGCCCCCAGGUGCCCCAGCAGGCGCGGCACGCGCCGUCCAAUCAGCUCUCGGUGUCCAGCAGCCACAACUCGUUGGAGGGGGAGGUGCCGGUCUCCGACAUCUACUUUCAAAGUCAGGAGGACAGGAGCUGGGUGUAUUCUCCCCUUCACUCCGGCUCAGAGUCCAGAAGGGACUCUGGCGGGGAGAGUGAUAAACAGUAGCAGUUGGGUUCAUGUCUUUAUUGGAAAUGAAAAUCUUGGGGCUCAAGACAAGACACUCCUAAACUCAGUUUGGGAUGGACUUUUUUUAACGCUGGUAUCCCAAAUCACACGUGAAUUCCUAUAUGUGCAAUCGUAACAUGACUUGAAUGAAAACAAAUCAGAAGAAAAUAGAAACCGAGAGCCGAGAGAGAGCGAUGGAUACUGAACACCUGCGCCCUUGCUGGUUCUUACUUACUUAUGGCUGCUCAUAUCAAAAAGCCAUGUUCUGUGGGAGGGG